GAAGGGAAUGAGCGGCGGACGGGUGAGUAACACGUAAGGAACCUGCCCCAAGGAUUGGGAUAACUCCGAGAAAUCGGAGCUAAUACCGAAUAGUUCUUCAGGCCGCAUGGUCUGAUGAUGAAAGGCGCUCCGGCGUCACCUUGGGAUGGCCUUGCGGUGCAUUAGCUAGUUGGUGGGGUAAUGGCCCACCAAGGCGACGAUGCAUAGCCGACCUGAGAGGGUGAUCGGCCACACUGGGACUGAGACACGGCCCAGACUCCUACGGGAGGCAGCAGUAGGGAAUCUUCCGCAAUGGACGAAAGUCUGACGGAGCAAUGCCGCGUGAGUGACGAAGGUUUUCGGAUCGUAAAACUCUGUUGUAAGGGAAGAACACGUGCCAUUUAACUGAUGGCAUUUUGACGGUACCUUACCAGAAAGCCCCGGCUAACUUCGUGCCAGCAGCCGCGGUAAUACGAAGGGGGCUAGCGUUGCUCGGAAUUACUGGGCGUAAAGGGAGCGUAGGCGGACAUUUAAGUCAGGGGUGAAAUCCCAGAGCUCA
rnacentral:rRNA from 1 species